UGCAGCACUACCCCUGCCACUAAUCCAGUGAAAUAUUUUGUCACUUUGGCUCCUUAGUAAUCAAGAAAAGAUGUGUCUGUGUUUUGUGCCUCAGCUGGAGUACAUUGGGGAUGUUCCUGCAGUGUAUCUUCUGGUGCAGUUUCUUCUUGGAGAAAUCCAGGUCAUGCUCUGAAAUGCCUUCAGAAGAGGAAACCACAUCACAGUUAGCAGGGAAACCUGGAAAGAGUGCUUGAGAAAUUUGCUGCUGAUGCAAUUCAACAUGAUAAUGAAGAUGCACCUUUUGUGUUCACGGAACGAAUAUUAGGAUGAAUACUGUGCUGCCCGCAUUUUCCAAUGAUUUGCAUUACUGAUAUCUGCUAUUCAGAAUGUAUAGCCCUCACAGUGAAAGGGAGAGAGAUAAGUCAGUGACCAACUUCUUGAAGGGAUGAAGAACUCCUUCGAGGUGAAGGAGGCCAAGAGAAAAAGGCCACUUUCCUUAAG